UAGAUUGAAGCCAGUUGAUUAGGGUGUUUAGCUGUUAACUAAAUAAUUGAAGGAUCAAAGCCUUCCAAUCUAG
rnacentral:tRNA from 1 species